ensembl:lncRNA
GCAACUGGGGGCGGGGCGUGUGAGAAAUCGUCACUGGGGACGGAGAACGCAACUGGGGGCCGGGGCGUGUGAGAAGUCGUCUCUGGGGACGGAGAACGCAACUGGGGGCGGGGCGUGUGAGAAAUCGUCACUGGGGACGGAGAACGCAACUGGGGCCGGGGCGUGUGAGAAGUCGUCUCUGGGGACGGAGUUGGAUCUAACCCUAAAGUUGCAGUGCUUUGGAGUUUUUCCCGCAUAACUUAUUUAACUACACGAUGUACUUUCAAAUCAUUUGUAUUUCUUGGUUUCUACAUCAAUCUCGUCGGUGGUGUCGUUGUGAUUUAGAUUUUUGAUGUCUGAACCUAAGAUACAUGCAGAACAUUUAUCAUGGUGAAUCUGCUGCUGAUGCUGGGUUUGAUCACUUACAGCGCUCAGUUUAAAACCUCCUCUAUAUCUGUGUCAGGAGAAAAGAGAGGAAACAUCACAGUCAGAUGUGAACAUGAGGACAAUAAUAUUGAUCUGAUUGAUUUAUUCACUCCGUCAAAAGAAAUAGAAGUGUGUGAGACUGAAGAAUGUAGUGGACGAGUGUUUAAAGAAGGAAACUGUGACGUCGUCAUCAAGAAUCUGAUCUUCAGUGACGCUGGGAAAUACACUUUGAGAAUCUAUUACAAUAAUGAUCAGACAGAGCUGAAGUACCAACUUCAUAUUCAUGAUGAGAUUUCUGUGAAAGCAGGCGAGGAGCUAAAGAUGUCUGUUCUGGUGUCUGAUGCUGAUAAAGUGAAGACAAACUCUAGUGGAGAGUGGAAGGAGGUUUGGACGAGAGAUCACGGGGUUCAGAGCGACCGGAUGAAUGAUGAUAAUGAUGGAAACCUGAUCAUUAAAUCAUUUCUGGACAGUGAUGCAGGAACAUACAGAGUUCUGGACACUGAAGGAGAAAUCUUGAUCACAGUCACAGUCAGAGGUAGAAAAUCAACGGAAAAACUGGAUGACACUGAUGAAGACAAAACUGAAGACACUGAACAUCACAAGAACUGGAUUGUGUCAGUUGUCGUGUGUUUGGUGAUUUCGGCUGUGUUUGUGAUCGUGAUUUCUGUCAUCAAAUGGAGACGGCAGCACAGAGAUCACACACAGGUUCCAGUAUGAGAGAAUACAGGAGAAAUCUAGUAUGCAGUUAGUAUUUACCGAGCAAACAGGUCUGUGGAUGAUGCAAUCAACAUGGGAUUGCACUUCAUCCUGCAACAUCUGGACAAAACAGGGACUUAGGCCGGUGACACACUGGCUGCGUGGCGUGAGCGCCGCGUGUCUGAAGCGUCCCAGAAGCGUGGCGGAUUCUGUGUCUUUACACACCAGAAGCGUGUCUGUCGCGGCGCUGGCGCGCUGCUGCUGUAGAGGGAGACCGUUGACAGACCAGGCUCAUGUCUUCAUUACAACAAUAUAUACUUUUUUCUACACACCUACACCUACUGAUAAAGGACACCGUCAAAAGUAUUGACGGCGAAAUAGAUUAUGUUUGACAGGUGCAAUAUUUGAAAAUCAAUAAUUAUUAAUAUUAUUUUUUUUUAUUACAUUUAUAUCUGAAUUUAUGUCAACCUAUAGACUUUCAAAUAUCAAAAUAUCAGGAAUGCAUAUGUAUUUGUGUACAAAAUGACAUUUCAACACAUUUUCCUAUUAUAUUUAGCCUGGAAAAGCUAGGCAACAAUUAGUGAGACUGGGGAAAUUCACAUCAAACAGCUGCUCCACCAACACUGGUGCCCCUCAGGGCUCUGUUCUCUCCCCUCUGCUCUUCUCCCUGUACACCAACAACUGCACCUCUAAAGACCCCUCUGUCAAGCUCCUAAAGUUUGCAGACGACACUACAGUCAUCGGCCUCAUCCAGGACGGUGAUGAGUCUGCUUACAGACAAGAGGUUGAGCAGCUGGCUGUCUGGUGCAGUCUUAACAACCUGGAGCUGAACACGCUCAAAACAGUGGAGAUGAUCGUGGACUUUAGGAGAAACCCCCCUGCACUUUCCCCACUCACCAUCAUGAACAGCACUGUGACUGCAGUGGAGUCAUUCAGGUUCCUGGGAACCACCAUCUCUCAGGACCUGAAGUGGGACAAUCACAUUGACUCCAUUGUUAAAAAGGCCCAACAAAGGUUGUAUUUCCUUCGCCAGCUGAGGAAGUUUAACCUGCCACAGGAGCUGCUGAAACAGUUCUACUCAGCCGUCAUUGAGUCUGUCCUCUGUUCUUCAAUAACUGUCUGGUUUGGUUCAGCAACAAAAUCAGACAUCAGAAUACUACAGAGAACUGUUCGGACUGCUGAAAGGAUUAUUGGGGCCCACCCUUCAAGAACUGUAUACAUCCAGAGUGAGGAAAAGGGCUCAGAAAAUCACUCUAGAUCCCUCACAUCCAAGUCACCCCAUCUUUGAACUUUUGCCAUCUGGCCGGCGCCUCAGAGCCGCAAACAGGCAAUCUACCUCAUGAACAGUAAAAUGUCCGCUACUUAUGCUUAUAAACGUGCAAUAUCCUUAUAUUUAUUUGUUAACCCUCCAUCCUAGAACAUUCCUGCAUCUCACUCAAUCCUAUUCCAUUAUCAUUUAUAGCACAAUUGUUUAGACACUUAUUUAUUUGCCAAUUUGUAAAUCCCCUUUUUUAUUAUUUUUUAUUUUUAUUUUUUAUCUUUUUUUAUUUAUUUUUUUAUUAUUUUUUUAUUAUUUUUUUUUUGUCUGUGUGUUGUUGUCUCUUUGUACUGGAAGCGUAUAUAAGUCACUAAAUGUCCUAAAUAUAUUUCAGAUAUGCUCACUGAAUAUAAACCUAACAGAGCACUCAGAUCACUAGGAUCGAGUCAGUUAGAAAUACCAAGGGUUCACACAAAACAAGGGAAAUCUGCUUUUAGUUUCUAUGCCGCUCGCAGUUGGAAUCAGCUUCCAGAAGAGAUCAGAUGUGCUAAAACACUAGUCACAUUUAAAUCUAGACUUAAAACUCAUCUGUUUAGCUCUGCAUUUAUUGAAUGAGCACUGUGCAAUGUCUGAACUGAUUGCACUAUAUUUCCACUGUUUAUUUUUUUCUUUUAUUUUAAAAUCAUUUUCUAACUGUUUUUAAAUUAAUUUUAAAGUAAAUGUUUUAAUCAUUUUAAAAGUUUUAAAAUUGCUUGUUUUAAUUUAUUAUUUUUCUUAAUGAUUAUUUUACUUUAUUUUAUGUAAAGCACUUUGAAUUACCAUUGUGUACGAAAUGUGCUAUAUAAAUAAACUUGCCUUGCCUUAAUAAUGAGUACAUUUCAUGUUUUUUUCAGCCAGUAUUUCUAAAUAGCCUAAAAUAUCUGGGUUUUGUGUUGUUUACCUGUUAUUUUAAUAAUGAUUGAAAGCUUGUUUGACCAAUAGCAUGCCACAAAUUUUUUUAAAGUUUCAUGGGAAAUACCCAAAGCUAUUAAUAUUAUCCAUAUCUUCUCUAAAGCUUAAGGCCUUCAUAUGAAUAUUAAUAAGCAUGAAUUAAUGUCUCUUAAGUGUGAUUUACCAUCUAUUUGUGGCAUCCCUAUUAAAAAAUGAAGUCAGAUAUACAGAUACAGACUUUGAUUUCAUCCAGUCCGAGAGUUUCACACACGUCUGAUAUUUGGAGCCAGUUCUUGAACACAUAUUGUUUCUAACCGUUUCUGCAGUUGUGAAGUGUGUGCUGUUUCUGUUGAAGUGUUGGUGAGUUCAGUGUCCAGCAGUGAGGUCACUAAUGUCCUGCACAUCUCUCCAGUUUAAUCAGAGUCUGUGGGGCCCUCAGCAGACAUCAUUAUGGGCCCUCAGUGCUUCUGGAGAGACAGCGCAGGUAUAACCUCUGAGCAGACGCUUGUGUAACGUGACAGCAGUCAGAAUCAGAGCCAGCAGAAGCACAACCACAGUCAGUGCAAUCCAAGAGACGACAGCUGAAGAGAGAAGUAGAGACAGAGCACUUCUUUUAGUUUGACAUUCACUCUUUAACAGAUUUGUGAAGCUCUCGAUGCCUCCUGUUUCACUCACCGUCAGAUUUACUGUCAUCAGUGUGCUCCAGUGUUUCCUUUGAUUCUGUACAGAAUAUUGAAAGGUAAGUCUCACAGUUUAGUCUGAAUUUGCUGUUUAAAGAUAAUAUUUCUACACAUCACUGAGCUUCUCUCACCUGUGACUGUGACUGUGAUCAAGAUUUCUCCUUCAGUGUCCAGAACUCUGUAUGUUCCUGCAUCACUGUCCAGAAAUGAUUUAAUGAUCAGGUUUCCAUCAUUAUCAUCAUUAUUCAUUCGGUCGCUCUGAACCCCGUGAUCUCUCGUCCAAACCUCCUUCCACUCUCCACUAGAGUUUGUCUUCACUUUAUCAGCAUCAGACACCAGAACAGACAUCUUUAGCUCCUCGCCUGUUUUCACAGAAAUCUCAUCUGAGAAGAAACAGAAAGAUAUUAAUCAUUAUUAUAAUGCUGUCAAUCAAUCAAGACCAUAAACACAGAUUUAUGAUUGGUGACCAGAUGUAAUCAUUUAAAGAAGCAGAUGCUGAUGUUUGAUCAGUUUAGUCUUCACCAUGAAUAUGAAGAUGGUACUUCAGCUCUGUCUGAUCAUUAUUGUAAUAGAUUCUCAAAGUGUAUUUCCCAGCGUCACUGAAGAUCAGAUUCUUGAUGACGACGUCACAGUUUCCUUCUUUAAACACUCGUCCACUACAUUCUUCAGUCUCACACACAGAUAUGACUCUUGACCGAGUGAAUAAAUCAAUCAGAUCAAUAUUAUCGUCCUCAUGUUCACAUCUGACUGUGAUGUUUCCUCUCUUUUCUCCUGACACAGAUAUAGAGGAGGUUUCUGUAAAUAAAGACAGUAAAUAUCAAUAGUAUGAUGAGAACAGUAUAAAUCUGAAGCAGAUAUAUCAGUGCAGUUGUAGUGAAUUAAUGAUGAAUGAACUGCACAGAUACAGCAGUGAUGCAGUGUGUGUUAUUUCUGUAAUAUGAUUGUAGAUGUCCAUCAUCAGUCACAAAUACUCACUAAACUGAGCGCUGUAAGUGAUCAAACCCAGCAUCAGCAGCAGAUUCACCCUGAUCAGAAACACAAGAGAUGAUGGAACGAGACAAACAGACUCUAGAAAGAGUUACAGCAAACUCUAAACAUUCACUUUCACUUCAUCUUAACAAAUAUCCAAUGAGAAACAGAAAACUAUCAUCUUUUUAUCUUUGUUUCUCCCAUCAUAGAAACACAAUGACAUGCUUUU